CUAGCUCCCUUCAAUAACGGGUAUUCUUGGGUAUAUAAUACAGAUGGCGUUGUUAUUGCUUGAGAAUACGCGUAGUUGAGGGGAUGC
rnacentral:pre_miRNA from 11 species